GCGCAACAAUUUUCCAUCGUAGCUGCCGCCAUAAUCAGACCGCUCCGGCCUCUCGCAAUCGUCUCGGAAAGCGAACCUACUUCCCAGGUCGGCGCGAACUGCCGGGAGAGAAAUCUUGCUAAAAUCCGUGGAUGUUUUCGCCGAGCAAAUCGUUUCACCGUCGAACGAGGCCAGUGGAUCGUGUUUGAAGUCGCGAUACAAUUUCCGAUGUCGAAUCGGAGCUGAUCGACCGUCGCGUUAUCAAGGACCGUAUUGGCCAGACGAAGAUAUUCCGCCGAACGAUUCCGCUGCAGAAGGGGAGGGGGCAUCUCUGUGCCCACACACUCUUGCACCCAAUCUGAGACGAUUCCUCUUUCCAUUGCGUAACGAAUUAUCCAGGAACCUAUAAUACAGGUGUUCCUACGUGAAAAAAAGCCAUUUUGACAAAGUGCGCGCUACUCGACGGGUCGAGGAUACGAUUCGAUUCGAUUCGGCACGGUGUUUGGAUUUGGCUGGCGAGCAGGAGGCAGCAGCGGCGGCGGCAGCGGCAGCGGAGCCUAGCUCGCGACGCGACGGAGCAGCCGUGAAGCCGUGAAUCGGUUGGCCGAGGAACGUAACGGAACGAGGAAGGGAGAUAGAGAGAGAGGGACGGCCGUUUUAUCGAGCGAACGACAGAGAACAAGAGGGAGAAAUGGCCCCCACCCACGACGGCAACAAGGAAAUAGAGGGGCGCUAUAAAGAGCGUAAAGCGUAUAAAGAGCGCGCGUAUGCCUACAGCCCUGUACCAGCGAGUGGCGGCUCUUCGUCAGUGUGCGAUUCAACUACCCUUCGGAAGCAGAACGAAGAGAUAAGCGAGAACGGUGUCGGGCAAGCCAAAUUAAAUCGGUCGGAAGGUGUCCACGAGAAGUGUCCUGUGAGCUUCAGCAUCGCCGCCAAGAUGACGGAGAAAGGAUCGACGAGGCUUCAGUACAUCGCUGCCGCCGCAGGUAGGUCUCAGCGAACCGACCCCCAGCACUGUCGAGCACUCUCUGCAGGGGUUGGUUUACACCGGCGACCGCAGCACCGCUUUCGAUCGCGCCGGCGAACGGUGGCGCGAACUUUGACGGGCCGCGCCAGCCUCUGCCGAGACCUGCGGCAACCUUGCCGCUCGUUCCUCGGUCACGGUUGCGUUUUCAUCGGCUCGAUGCGAUCGUGAAACGGCCGGCUAGCACCGCGGGAGGAUGUUUGGUGGGAAACGUGGUUCGAGAGUUUCGUUUUCUGGUGGCUGUGGGGUCGUAGAAGGCUGCGUGUCAGCGCGGCGCGUAACUAGGGACGCGAGCUAUGCAGUUGGAAAUUAAUUGGUAGAGAUCGAUGGGACGACGAUUUUUUGUGACUAUUUGAGAUCCAGGCGCGGCACGCGAGUUGUUCAUUUACUCGGGACAUUUUGGAGUACGGAGAAUGGAGGAAAUAGUGACGGUAAAAUAAAUAUUUGAUGCUGUUCGGAGCGCGCGGAAUGGAAUGAUAAUUCUGUGAAUGGAUAAUUCGAGAGCUAGUCAAUCAAUUGAUAAUUUAUUUAGAACAUUUUAGAAUACGGAGCACACGAUUGACGUAGCAAAUGAUAGUUGACAGAGGCCUCGGUCACGGUUAAAUAUUGCCGAGAGAAUUUUCUAUGCGGAACGUGCUUUAAAGGCAUUUAUGUAUUCUUCGGCCAUUCGAGGUGUAGAUAAACUCUAACAAGAGCUAUAAAACUGUAAUUGGAGUGGAUAACAGUUGCUAGCUGCCAGCGGCGGAAAAUUAAUUAUUUUAUGCGCCCGAGAAAAAAGGGGGAACGAAAUCUAAACGCUUUCUAAAUAGUCUUUGUGCAACUGCAAAAAGGUAACAGUAAUACAGAAUAUUCAUUAGCGGGAUAUUCGUACUCCGUUCCGUGAAGAAUCGAUGGAUUCGUUUAAAAAUAUCUGUUGCUCGUUGGUCUGCUUUCAAAUAUGCCGACACGUGAAUGAGAUUCGCUAAUUCUUUUUUUGGACGAUUUUAGACUAGUUUCUCAAUGAAAUAUUUUCACGUCGAUCGUGUCAGAACGAACAACAACGCUCGAAUCUUUUUAUUGAUAGGAAGUCCGAUAAUCGCGAUAUCUAUCGAGCGUAUCGUUGAAAGGUGCGAUCUGUGUUUGAACAAAUGUCAAUUGCGAGCGGGUUUUAAUUACAAGCGACGUUCUUUCCGAAGUAUUUAUUUCGAAAUUUCGGCGAAUUAAUAAUUUAACCAUAAGGCUAACAAAGUCUAAAUCUUCGAGGUCUGUGAAACACGUCGCAAGCGCAGCGUUUGCGUCGACUGAAAAUAGUCGUCGCUCGCGUUGCAAUGUAUCCAACGUAGUUUGGUCGGUGAUUUGAAACUGAGCGUUGCACCGAUAAGCAUUUGUACAGCAACGUCGAGCAAAUGCGAUUCGUAAUUAGUAGUACUAGGCGAUUACUGUAGACGCGUUUAUGAUCUAGGGUAGUACAUUUAUAUUUUGGUUGGGAAAAUUCUGAUAACAGCUCAAUUGUUCUUAUCGCUAAUAACGUAAUCGUUCGGGAUACCGUUAAAUGCCCAUGCGCACUAAAUAAUAAUAGAAUUGCGGCACUAAA